rnacentral:rRNA from 1 species
GGCGUAAGGGUGAGUAACACGUUGGGUAAUCUGCCUCUAAGCCCGGAACAACCUGGGGAAACUCGGGCUAAUUCCGGAUGUGGUCGCCUCGCGCAUGCGAGGCUGUCUAAAGGCGGGGACCGCAAGGCCCGUCACUUGGAGAUGAGCUCACGUCCUAUCAGCUUGUUGGUGAGGUAACGGCUCACCAAGGCUUACGGGUAGCUGGUCUGAGAGGAUGGUCAGCCACACUGGGACUGAGACACUGCCCAGACUCCUACGGGAGGCUGCAGUCGAGAAUC